UACAGAGGUGGCGAGCGUUGUUCGGAUUUACUGGGCGUAAAGGGCGCGUAGGCGGUUCCGUAUGUCGGAUGUGAAAUCUCACCGCUCAACGGUGAAAUUGCAUUCGAAACUGCGGGGCUAGAGUGCAGGAGAGGAGAGCGGAAUUCUUGGUGUAGCAGUGAAAUGCGUUGAUAUCAAGAGGAACACCAGUGGCGAAGGCGGCUCUCUGGAAUGCUACUGACGCUGAGGCACGAAAGUUGGGGGAG
rnacentral:rRNA from 1 species